rnacentral:rRNA from 1 species
GACGAACGCUGGCGGCGUGCUUAACACAUGCAAGUCGAACGGAAAGGCCCUGCUUUUGUGGGGUGCUCGAGUGGCGAACGGGGGAGUAACACGUGAGUAACCUGCCCUGGACUUUGGGAUAACUUCAGGAAACUGGGGCUAAUACCGGAUAGGAGCUCCUGCUGCAUGGUGGGGGGUGGAAAGUUUCGGCGGUUGGGGAUGGACUCGCGGCUUAUCAGCUUGUUGGUGGGGUAGUGGCUUACCAAGGCUUUGACGGGUAGCCGGCCUGAGAGGGUGACCGGCCACAUUGGGACUGAGAUACGGCCAGGACUCCUACGGGAGGCAGCAGUGGGGAAUAUUGCACAAUGGGCGGAAGCAGGAUGCAGGAACGCCGCGUGCGGGAUGACGGCCUUCGGGUUGUAAACCGCUUUCGCCUGUAACGAAGCGUGAGUGACGGUAAUGGGUAAAGAAGCACCGGCUAACUACGUG